GUCCCAGUUCGGAUUGUAGUCUGNAACCCGACUACAUGAAGCUGGAAUCGCUAGUAAUCGCGAAUCAGAAUGUCGCGGUGAAUACGUUCCCGGGUCUUGUACACACCGCCCGUCACACCAUGGGAGUCGGAAAUGCCCGAAGUCAGUGACCCAACCGUAAGGAGGGAGCUGCCGAAGGUGGAGCCGGUAACUGGGGUGAAGUCGUAACAAGGUAGC
rnacentral:rRNA from 1 species